rnacentral:miRNA from 14 species
AGGUGAUGGGGAUUAAGGAGUGCACUUGUCCAAAUGUCCUGAUGAGCACUGGGUGAUGUAUGGAAGUACGGAAUCACUACAUGGUACACCUGAAACAAAUAUAACAGGGUAUACUAAUUAAACUGGAAUUUAAAAAUUUUGCAUUCAGUAUUUUGGCAACCCUUCUAGUUUUGCUUCUUGGAUUGAAAGGAGCUCCCUGACUUGUUGCU